AUACCAUCUGAUAACUACAUAGCGAACUAUUCUUUCGCCUUUUACUAAAGAAUACUGUGUAGCUGUCAAUCAAAGUGGCAUACUGACAAUUUUUUGAAAGAGUUCUCUUAAAUGAGAGCU